rnacentral:rRNA from 2 species
UGGGGAAUAUUGCACAAUGGGGGAAACCCUGAUGCAGCGACGCCGCGUGAACGAAGAAGGUAUUCGUAUCGUAAAGUUCUGUCCUAUGGGAAGAUAAUGACAGUACCAUAGAAGAAAGCUCCGGCUAAAUGCGUGCCAGCAGCCGCGGUAAUACGUAUGGAGCGAGCGUUGUCCGGAAUUAUUGGGCGUAAAGGGUACGCAGGCGGUUUAAUAAGUCGAAUGUUAAAGAUCGGGGCUCAACCCCGUAAAGCAUUGGAAACUGAUAAACUUGAGUAGUGGAGAGGAAAGUGGAAUUCCUAGUGUAGUGGUGAAAUACGUAGAUAUUAGGAGGAAUACCAGUAGCGAAGGCGACUUUCUGGACACAAACUGACGCUGAGGUACGAAAGCGUGGGGAGCAAACAGG